CAACCAUGCUGUCACACAUGCAACAGGAAGAAACAUUACCAUCACAGGGAUUUCGGAGGACCAACUAAGUCAGCUGGCCACGAUUUUUGGUGAACGUGCAGCUAUGUCGGAGCAAUUAGCCGGACCGGGCCACGAGGAGAGUGAUUGGAUCGGGUGAGCUAUGGAGGGGGUAUAUUGGCUCAAGCAGAAGUAACCUACAUUAGCUCACAUGGCCGUAAAGAAGACAGGUCAUCUCUUGUGGCAUAAGCGCUUGGGUCACCCAUCUAGUAAAGUCUUGCACUCUAUUCCCGGUGUUUCAAUAAAAACGGAUGAAAAGUUUGUUUGUGAUGCUUGUGCCCGUGCAAAGCUUUCACGUAAUCCAUUUCCUGAAAGCUUGAACAAUGCUAAAGCAUGUUUUGAUUUAAUUCAUGGAGAUGUUUGGGGCCCUUACUGUGUAGCCUCUAUAUCGGGUGCUCGAUACUUUCUCACUUUGGUUAAUGAUCAUAGUCGGUGUGUAUGGGUU